UGGGCAGGCCGGGUGGUAUACUCCGGGUGAAAGCUCGGGGAGGAAAGUCCGGACUCCGCAGAGCAGCGUGCCUCGUAACGCGAGGUCCCCGAUCAGAUCGGGGAAGGAAAGUGGCACAGAAAAAACACGGCCGAACUAAACCCUAAAGGUUUGGUGGCAAAGGUGAAAACGGGAGGUAAGAGCUCCCGACGUAACAGACCGGAGACGGUCACGUGCUAAACCCCACGCGGAGCAAGACCAAAAAGGGAAAGAAGCGGCUCGCUUCGUCAUGAUCCCGAGUAGGUCGCAAUGAGGUUGUUAGUAAUAACAACCCCAGAUAGAUUAUCACACAAAUACAGAAUCCGGCUUACAGGCCUGCCCCCUAA
rnacentral:RNase_P_RNA from 1 species